rnacentral:rRNA from 1 species
CCGCGGUAAUACGUAGGGUGCGAGCGUUAAUCGGAAUUACUGGGCGUAAAGGGUGCGCAGGCGGUCUUGCAAGUCAGAUGUGAAAGCCCCGGGCUUAACCUGGGAAUUGCGUUUGAAACUACAAGGCUAGAGUGCAGCAGAGGGGAGUGGAAUUCCAUGUGUAGCAGUGAAAUGCGUAGAGAUGUGGAAGAACACCGAUGGCGAAGGCAGCUCCCUGGGUUGACACUGACGCUCAUGCACGAAAGCGUGGGGAGCAAACA